GUGAGUCUUCGUGCUGUGAAAACCUAUAAUUUUGACGUGGUGUUGUAUAUUGCUGUGGGCUGCUGUGUAUUGCCGUGUGUCCUGUCAGAUAAACCCCCGCCUUCACGCACUUCGUCGCGGGAGGACAAGGAGACUGCUGGUCCUAGCCUAGUUCAGUACAGUAUAUGUUGUGGGCGUGCUUCAGAUCUCCGGAGAUAGCACGGUACGCUGUGUCCAGCCCAGAGGUGAAAGCCAUCCAAAGCAGAGUAACUGUGCUUUGUGUCCAAGUUGAUACCUGUGGAGAGGAAAGGAAAGAGAGAUUGAUAUCUGUGGAGAGAAAAGGAAAGAGAGAGUGAGUAACACAAGGAGAAACAGAGGAAACCUGUACUUACGCCGCUGCCUGUGGAGAAAGAGAAAGCGACCGUUGCCUGUGGAGAAAGAGAAAGAGAGUGAGCACCUCGAGAACGAACUGUGUGAACCAGUACUUACCGUGAGCUGUAUUCAGCGAAGAGGAGGAAGAAGGAGGGCGCUACGGAUACCUAAGACUCAGGCCGGGGCCCGAGUCCCACGCCCCGGAUCCCCGUGGCCCC
ensembl:lncRNA